AUCACACGAUAAAAUAUUUUUUGGAUUUUCUGGCAGAAAUUAAGAUAUGGUUGGCAGAAAGCUUCCUGUGUCUCAAUGGGAAAAAAACAGAGGCACUGUUGUUUGGUCAGAGCAGUAGGGAUGGGUACCUUUGACAUUUGAAUCGAUUCUGUACUAAUUCCUGGUACCUAGGAAUCGAUACCGGUACUUAACGGUACCAAUUUUCGAUACUUUUGAGUGUUUAAUAUUUUAAUUCUCUUUUAUAAUUAAAUAUAUAUUUUUCUCAAUAUAUAACCAUAUUUGGUAAAUAUCACAAUAAAUAACAUACAACUGUUUGUAUUUUAACAUCGUCCUUGUAGUUUUAUAAGCUGAUAAUUACACUGAAGCAAACAUCUUUACUGUGAACUAAAUUUACUGUGUAUCUUCAUUCCUUUUGCCUCCUUUUUCUUUGAUUUUUUCCUACUGGGAAGUUAGAAUUUCUGAGGAGAAAGCGAACGCACCAUUAACUAAUAACAACGGUGGAAAUGAAAGCUAACAUAUCAAGCUAACGUUAUCUUAAACAGUUUAUUUAGCUGCUGGAGCAGAUUAAAACGAUGAUGCCUCACACUUUGAUCGUUGUCACUGGUUUCAUCUUCAUCCAAUCACCUGUCACAUUUAGUAAAGUGAAGCCAAACUUUAGAGCGCGUUCAUGUUCUUCUAGUGGGAAAUUCGGAGUUCCGAGGAGAAAGCGAACGCACCAUUAGCGGAACGGAAGCUAACAUAUCAAGCUAACGUUAUCUUAAACAUUUUAUUUACCUACCGGAGCAGAUUAAGAUGAGGAUUAGAGCUGAAACAACUAAUCGAUUUAAUCGAUUAUAAUCGAUUAUUAAAAUAGUUAACAACUUUUUUAGUCAUCGAUUAGUUGUUUAAUAAUCAUAUUUUACCGCAUAAAGUCUAUUUUUUACCACAAUCUGACAUCGGUUACAAUCUGUUAAAUUUGCCGCCAGUGUGUGGCAGUAAUGAGCCACUGAUCUACCAGUGGAGCCGUAGAAGAAGAAAUGAGCCAAUAAGUGCCCUCGGUUUUCAUGACGUAUCACGUUACUGACGCUCAUCUUGCUGUGAGAGAUGGUGGAUCAACAAGAAAUACGGAAGAAAAAUAGAAGCGACAAAACAAGAGAAACCCCGGACAAAAACCUCACGAGUAUGGGAGCACUUCACUAGAUGCCUUGAAAAGACCGGUGACCUGCAAAAUAUGCAAAAACCAUGGCACGACGGAAGCACGACGUCCCUAAGUGAACAUUUGAGACGAAAACGUGGGGGCUGAUGCAGCAGAGGAAUGUCCGAAAAAAACAAGCAACGAUGGACAACUACAUGGGGAACAAGACACUCACCCCCAGCAAUGCAUACCACUUACAAACUCUAUUCCAGAUUCUACAUUAUUUUUUUAUGGAAUUUACCUCUUAUAUUUUGAUGCCAAAAAAUUAUUCUGGACUGAUAUUUUGCACUGUUUAGCUCAUUUUACACCGCUGACUGUGUUCAUGUGCAAUAAAAUAGAUUGCAGUCAACU